CCACAUCAGUAUGGUUGUGAAGUGCUUCUGCCAAGUGUCUGUACUCUAGCAGAACUGCAGAAGACCGAUUGGGGAGAACGAACCGAUUCAGCCAAUACAGAAGGAACAACAUGUGUUGCUGAUCCUUGUCCUUCUCAGCACUGAAUUUCUUCAGAUAGUUGGAGAAAGAGCAGUUCUGGUUGAUCACGGCUGGAGAGAUAGUAAAAGGAGUGGCCACUUUCUCUUGAUUCCGUC
rnacentral:lncRNA from 1 species